GACGUAGGGGGCCAGCGUUGUUCGGAAUUACUGGGUGUAAAGGGUUCGUAGGCGGUGCGGCAAGUUGGGAGUGAAAUCUCUGGGCUUAACCCAGAGGCUGCUUCCAAAACUGCUGUGCUUGAGUGUGGGAGAGGCGCGUGGAAUUGCAGGUGUAGCGGUGAAAUGCGUAGAUAUCAGGAGGAACACCGGUGGCGAAGGCGGGUCUCUGGGCCGAUACUGACGCUGAGGAGCGGAAGCGUGGGGAGCGAACAGG
rnacentral:rRNA from 1 species